GGGAAUGUAGUUUAUUGGUAGAGUGCUUGCCUAGCAUGCAUGAAGCGCUAGGUUCAAUUCCUCAGUGCCA
rnacentral:tRNA from 1 species